GGCCCCGUAGCUCAGCAGGAUAGAGCACCAGAUUCCUAAUCUGGGGGUCACAGGUUCGAAUCCUGUCGGGGUCA
rnacentral:tRNA from 1 species